CAGCUGGGUCCUCUCUCUCAGGUGAAUUGUAUGGAGUUCCACUGCUGUGGUUAAAGUUUUGUUACAGAUAACGAUGGGCUUAUCGGAAAGGCAAGAAAAACGGCAUAAAAACCGUAUCGCUGAAUACAAUUUGAAUCUGCCAUGUUAUGUGAGCGAAAUAAGAAAAUUGGACCCUAUCGUGUUGGAUGGUAACAUACUAGCGUAUAUUGAGGACCUCAUUAAACUGUUGAUAAAAAUUCGAGAAUUUGAAUGGUUCGAAGAGCCAGCAGACGAUGACAUUAAUUUCAAUGGCCGGAAUGUUAGUUUUACGCUUGGCUGCAAAUACUGUGGUCAAAAGAACAUCGGUGCGUUUGAAUUGAUAAUACACAUAAUGGACAUGAAUAAGCACGUCUCCCUGACUGGUAGAUGCAUGUUCAAAUUACGAAAGCUGAGAGAUAAAGCUAGCAGCGCCUACACAUCUUUCCUAAAUGAAGAAAGGGCAAUAUUGGAAAGAAACGGAUUUUUUGAACGCAUCGUUCUUGAGAACAUUUUAAAUUUUUAUCUUAUAACCAAAUCAUUCCAUCAAUUGACUACCCGCUAUGUCAAUUCACUAAGCGCCUUGGGAUGCUUGCCUUCCACAAUAGUAGCACGCGGAGCUCUGGAUUUAUUGAAAGAACUUGGUUGGCUGAUGUCACGUGCGCAGUGCGUUAAAUCUAAUCCAAACAGUAAUAUGAUUCUAAUGUACAAAGUGCAUAAGCUUUGCUACAAAAUCGAGGAUUCGAUAUUCGACCUUUCCGAUAAUGCCUUGAAACACGCCAAAAUAAGAUUUGGCUCUAAGUGUACAGUUCCAGAGAAUCGAAACUUUUUUUCCGUGCGGCCUCCGGUAGUGCCACAACACGUUCCACAUACCAUUGGACCAUUUCAAAAUCCUCCUCCAGUAGCAAUGAACAUCCUACACAAUCAAGCAUUACAUCCGACGGGUGCCCCAGUUUUCCGAACCAAUUAUCCCAUCAAUCGACCCAUCGUGCGACACCCAAUACCAUCCCCAUAUCCACCUCCACUGAUGUCACUCCGUCUUCCAUGCCCUCCUCCGGACUUCCGGCGACCCCCGCCAUUCCCGCCAAAUCGGGCAACGCUUCCACCAUUGCACAACACUGUUCAACCCAACAUUCCACCAUUGCACAACACUGUCCAACACAACGUUCUUCCUCCAUUGAGUACGUCUGGGACGGCAGAGAAUCCGAUUUUCAGUGCCACUGUAAAACAAUUUCUCAAGGAACCCAAGCUGGACGGUUUGAUUGAGGAUGGAAACACUUUGAAGCAUUUUCCAAAAUGUACCACCAUAACCGCAGAGUUGGAACGUGCAUUGCACGACAUGUCAUACAACGUGAAAGUGUCUUGCUUUGGUAUUAAAAUAACAGGAGUUGGUUAUGAAGAGGACAACAUCAACUUAUACGUGAAUGAUGGUGAGAAAACGAAAACGGACGAAUCAAUCAAGCUACUCUACGAUGGCUUGACUGAUUUUUUCGCGCAGAACGUGGACGACUGGAUGAUACUGACCAAGAAAGAGGACGGCGUGCGAUCGUAUCUCACAGUUAAAAAUCACUGUGAGAGCAUCAGCUGUAGGAUUUCGUUCGCUAGCGAAAUUUACUGCGCAAACACAAGACUGAUUCAAUAUUAUUUGAAGAGCUUCCCGAUCUGUCAACGAAUCUUUUUUUACGUGCUAGAGUUCACCAAAUUAAUGGAAAUGGAUCUACCGAGAUAUGUGUGCAUCACACUAGUUAUAUUCUGGCUACAGAUGAAGGAUGAAGCACCCUCAGUUGCGAAGCUGCAGGCGGAUCUUACGGAAGAGGAAUGGUGUGGUAGUAAGUUUGAUGUGUGUGUGUGUAUAUGAAGUUCGAUGAGUUUUCCCUAUUCUUAUAACAUUACGCGUUCUUCAUCGUCAACGAAUUUCGAAAUACAACGUAAUAUCGUUUCAUCGGCAAUUGACCCCGACUACCUACGACCAGUGAUGACAUUUUCACUGAAAAGAUACACCAGCGCAUGAAGUUCAUGCCAACACUGAGGAUACAGUCAUCGCACACCACAGAGAAACAAAUCACAUUCUCCAUUCACCGGCGGAUAUAUAAAUUGGCAGUGUCCACUAGUCGGAUGAAAUCUUGGUGCGAGUGCGCUCCACCCUCUUGCUAAAAAUUUACUUCUGGGAGCUAUCGUGUGCUCUUUGUCCAGCGCUGAGCGCCGGCAUUCUAGUACAACCUUUGGUGUAAUCUCUAUAAAGUGCACUGGUCCGAUGGCUCUUGAUCGAUUUCACUGUGCUUCGCAAGUGAAGUUGAUCAGCGCGUUUAUCGAAAACUAGCUGACCCAGCAAACUUCGUCCCGCCCAAAAUUUAUAUGUAUGGGAGCCUCUCUUCAGAGAAGGGAAAGGAGUGUCAAACCACCAUAAAACAUUUAUUUCACCCUAAAAACUCCACAUGCCAAAUUUCGUUCCACUUUCUUGAUUAAUUCUCGAAUAAUGCAGAAAUUUGUGUUUCAUUUUCGGCGGCGAUUUCGGCGCGUCGGUCGAAAAUGUAAACGGCUUCUUUGGUGCCUUUGAGAAUGCAUCAAUGCAUUAAACUGACGUUAUGGCGAAGCAGGCGUUAAGGUUAUGCUCCAAAAAUUAUUUGAAGAAUACCAAGCAUCUUGAAUGUCUUACUGGAAUGUUAUAAGAUAUUUAGGUUCGCGUGCCAGUCGCAAAACUGCCUUCAACUAGGAUUGCAUUUGCGCUAAUAUUGAUUAUAAUGAAGCAUUGCUACUGUUUUCGAGGUUGUUGAUAUUAACAAAAAGAGUUUAUUUCGCUUGUUUAGUCACCAAGAAUGUAAAUGUCGUUCUGUAGUUUUGUAUGUGAUUAGGUUUCGCUUACCAGUAGCCAAAAUUCCUCCACUAAGGGUGACAGCUGCGCUUCCCUCGAGCAUGAGAAAGUAACGCAACUUUUUUUGAAGCCAGUAAUAUUAACAAAAGCGUUUCUUUUGAGAAUUGCGCAAAAUGAUGAGAAGUGUUUGUAUUCCUAGUAGCUUGAAGCCACCAAUGUGUGGUUCUGUAUGCAUGCUAUGGCGAACGCUUGUUUAGCGCUUGGUUUACGUUGUACGAACGAUGCCUAGAGGUGCGAUUGCUUUGAGACAAUACUAAAUAACAUGUAGCAUGAUAUUUGAGUGUUGUCAUUGUUGUUGUUUCCAUGCGGUACUAAAGAUAUAUUGAUGUAGUUAUGAGAUGUGGUAUAAUGGUGCUGGUGUGACAUGUAUAUAAUCGACUGUAGCCGAGUCUAUGUCAAUUGCGAAAAAAGCCACCGGAAUAGCGUUCGAGGUAAUUUUACAAUGCAUUGACAUGAAAUAAAUUGCGACAUACGAUCAGCUAGUGUAUUGUUUUGCGAGGGCUACAAUGAAUCAUCAAUCAACAAUAUCGUUGAAAAUAUCUAUUACGUAAAAAGAAAUAACAACAAUGGCCGUAUUAGUCACAACUACCGUCCUGAUUCGGGUCUUGUCCACCAAUUGCGAAUGUUUGAAUUACAAAAACCUGUUCUGCAAUGUUGGAAAAACUUUACAGUUAUUAUUUUAUACUUAAAAUAUCAACAAAUCAAUAUUAUACAUAAUCAUAAUAAUGAAUCGAUUGAUUGAGUAAUGAUCAUUCUUUCUAAUAAGAGAUUAUUAAGCGGCCUCCAUUGCCAUUUUAUGGUGUUGCCACUCUCUCUUAGUCUAAUCCUAAAAAUAGAAACAAAAAAUUUCUGUUCAUUGAGGAUAAUCGGAAGUAGACCUUCGCCAUGUUUCAAUGGGCCUACGGGUACUACAUUUUUAAUCCUUAAUUACAUCCCAUAGCAUAUUUACCGAAUCCACAUAAACAAAUUUUCGGCCUCUGGAUAGUCAGAAUUUCGUUCUAAAAAUGCCACCAGGCGGGUAAAUUGCUGUUUGUUUAUCUUUUGUUUCUUAAACAAAACAAGCCAAUAUUCAAAAUGUUAGCAAAAAGCUAAAUAAAUACGAAAUUAAACUUACUCCAUUCCGCGUGACUAGCUUUCACCAUCUAAAACACAAGUGACAAAUAUACCUGUUUUUCUCCGUGACAUGACAGUAUCGUGAUAUUCAUAAUGACACCGAGUUCAUCAAAGUUGUCACGACGGAUGAACUCUCCUGGAUUCUACACACCCGGUGACAGCCGUAAUAAGAUUGUAUACAAUUCACUUCGUUUUCACCGUGAAGUGAAGUUCGUGAUCAGGCCCUGAUUCUACAAUGAAAAACCAUUUCAAAGAUUAUUCUACUAAGCAGUUGUUUCGAAAAUUUCAAUUGCAAUAUCCGAAGGUAUAAACAAGCGACUUAUAUAAAAUAACAGCGAUGCGGUCGUAUCUUGGACACAACCUCCUAUAAUUUUUAACUACGUUUUGCCACUGAUUAUUAAGUUGAAUAAAACAUUCCAUACUGAAGCACCCGAAGUCUUUCAGAUUUAUUCGGCAACUAAACAACUUUUAGAACCAUUCGCGUUCAUGUUUUAUGUACAAAUUAUUAAGCAAAUUUAAAAGCCGUUCGAUACUGAAGAUGAUGAUUUGAAAAUUGUCUUUGCAGGAUGUUUUAUGGAAGCUUUUUAUAUUUAAAAAAAUGAAAUCAUCAGGAGCUAGAAACCAUGUUCCGAGAAAUCAACUCCAGAAUUUCUAAGGGAGACAUUGAUAUGAAUACCACACAAAAACAAAAAACAGAAAAGCUAACUGAUGCUAAGCUUUCCCUGUUUUGAGGAGUUACACCAAUUUCUUCAUUAACCCACAUUUGUCCAGAAUGCUUACUUAAGUUUUCGUAUACCAUUUUUGACGUAGAACUACGUCUAACAUCUUCCGGUUAGGGGGGGGUAAAAUGAAAAUAUAGACACUGAACAAGUAGGAAAAAAUAAAAGAUUCUGAACGCUUAUAACUCGAGCAUUUCUUAGUAGAUCGCAAAGGUGUUUGCAUUAAUUGAUAGGAAGUAUUUCUACGCGUCUAACACAAUGAAUAACAUUUUCUUUUUUAAGAUAAACAAUUGAAUAAUUGUGAAAUAUCAAGCAUUAUCCAAAUGCAUUUUGGGCCCAUUUUUGAUUGGUUCGAUAUGUGCUUCUCAAAUGGUACCGACUAAAAGGAGCAACCAGAGUAACAGCGGAAUAUAAUUUGGAUACAAGUAAAGAACCAUAUUGUAAAACUCUCCCACUUGUGGUUCUACCGCCAGUGGAAUGGAAUAAAUUUGGUUGUCGCUUUUCGAAACCAUUAUUCAUUUUCUAACCACGGAGCAGAACGGAAGUUCUGAGGAGCAGUGUCAUGAGCGUAGCGAUGGCAACGGCGAAAGCGGGCAAGGAGUUUUAAUUGUGUGGCGCUCAUACUCUAAGAGCCUCCGCAGACUACAAACAUUUCAUCGGCCGUUAGUUUUGUACGGUUUGAGCUAGUCGCUUUCGUGGAAUCAAUCCAGCACACCAGUGCCUGAGACUGCAUUCAAUCUGUCGAGAAUAGUGCUUCUGCAAAAUGAGGACAAAACCUUCGACAUCGUGAGAACGAUACAAAAUAUAUUGGCGCUUUUCAGGGCCACCAAAUUAUUAAGAGUUAUUGAGAGUUAUUUACAUACGAUGGCUUUUUUUUACUGUCGCUUCCUUUUGUUUUUCGUUCGUUCGUCUCGUUCACCCCUUUAGCUGAGUCUCCCAAUUUGUCUCUAUCCUGUGAGCAUGUGCCACUAGAGUACAAACCGUGUGGACCCCUAAAAAAUAGAACAAUAAAUUUAAAAAUAUAUUUAACAAAAGUUACCCCCUUCGUAUAGUUCUACGUCAUUCCGGUUAUGUCCCCGACAUUACCCACCCGUCUUUUCGACAGUAAUGCUCAGCACAAAAAAAAUCUUUAAAAUGGUUCCACGACGAAGAUUCAAUUCAAGAAUAUGAAUUUCUAUGAAAAAUAUACCCAACUAAUUUAUUUUGAAUGAAAAAAAUUCUUUCUGAAACUAUCCGUAUCGUAAACACAUGUCUUAAUAGCAACUUUAUGUCUCUUUUUCAUACGUGAUAGUCUCGUUCUUAUAUUACAAUACCUAUUAAAUUACUGCAUCGAUCAUACAUAUUUUUCAAUUAUAGAAAUGUAUUAUAAUAAGGAUAUUUAUGUAGUACAAUGUUAUAGUUAUAGAAGUUUUAUACAGAUUUCAAUACAGUUUUUCUGGGACAAAACUACCAGUUCGGCUGAAAUGUUUAUAAGGUAACACAGUAAAACAAUUUUUUUUUUUGCAAAAUUCAAUUUUAUUAUUCAACAUAAUUCCUUCGAUUGCCUUUAUUCUCAAUGCUGUAACUUACGAACCAAUCGACACAUUGCUGUCAAAUUAUGACACGUAUCCAUUGAAAGAUGAUGCUUUGUGAUAGUCAAGUAGAUUUUUGCAACAGGCGCCAUCUCAACCUUAUGAACCUUAUGAACUUUUCAGCCAAACUGUUAAGAUAAAAAGAUUUUUUCAGAUCGAAAACACAGAUAUUUUGGUAACCCUGAUCGCUGCAGCUCACAGAAUUUGAAUAACGCACACUGACCCGCUACCUGAUGGCUAAAUUGAACAUAAUAACGUGAGUAGCGCUUCAGAAUUUAGGAUAAGACAAUCCCCUUUAUUCCGCGCGGCGAAUUAGGUGAGAUUGCUCAAGUCACUGCAUUCCCGUAGGCGAAUGGCGUGACUAUAGUUUGUCACUGGGUGAGAUUUGAAGUCGUGUCCUCAUAUGUUAUCGACUCGGGUAUCAAAAAGACGGGUGGGUAAUGUCGGUGACAUAACCGGAGUGACGUAGGACUAUACAAAGGGGACAACUUUUGCUAAAUAUAUAUUUUAAAUAUAUUGUUUUAUUUUCUUCUCCUACGUGAAUACCUACCUAUCUACCUGAAAAAUGGAUUAGUUUACUGUUUACUCUGUAUUACUUGUAUGAAUUGUAAGAUUUGUAGUCUCCGCAAACAAAGUAAAUAAAAAUGAAAAAGAACUGAGGUUUUGGAGACGAACUCUACGAUCUGUCGAGAAAUAAACGAGCUAUAAGCGUUCUGAAAAACCAACAGUACAGGGAAAAUACAGGGAAAAAAAAGGACGAAUGACCUUCGGAUUAAAGUCCUUUAAAAUAAGAACAGAGCAGCAGGAAAUACAUAGCUCAUCGUGUUGCUCCUUAGUUAUUUCUCUAUGCAAUGCAGAUGUAACGUCAGUCAAUUUUCAACAUCAGUUAUCAACCAAAGAAAGCAGUUCUUGCUACCGAGAAAAUUCGUUAAUGCCAUCCUGCAUACAAUGUGUUGUAAUUUGAAGCCACUUUUAAUUCGGACACCAUACAUGGGUUUGUGAAAACUGAAUAAUCAAUUUAAAAGACCCCACGACGUGCCGAAGCACCACUCAGUGUCGCAUUGGAGGCGAUUUUAACCUGUAAUUGAACAUUUGCGAUGACAGUGGUACAGUGUCGACUUUCAAUGUGGGGUCAUAAUUUGGAUCUCUAUGCUUACAAAAAUGUCCAACUAAAUAUGUCGUAUUACAUGUCCGUCCAAUUAGCUAACUGUCGAACUAAUUGUAAAUUACUGUACUUUCAAUCUGGAAACAAUUUGAGAAUUGGUGAAAAUUGAAUAAUCAGGAAAGUCCCCAACUAUCAAUAAGCUCAGAACAACUGACAAAUUCACAUACUCAUCAGAUCCUGGCAAACAAAUUAUGAAAAAAUCUAUUUGUGUUUUAUUAUUAUUUUGGAUAUUAUUUUAGAAAGCAUUGAACUGUAUUUCCUAAACUCUUUUUUGAAAGGUUUAAUGGCCCUGAUAAGCGCCGUGUUUUAUGGAAUGGUUCCAAUUUAGAAAACUUUGUACUCGUGGUUUUGAAAAAAAACAUUUCGAACGCCCUCGAUGCCGCCUUGUUCUGGAUUUGCCACCAAAGCAGUUUGUAUAAAGAACAAACUUUUUUCUUCUGCUACCAGCUGCCGUUUUGCGAUUGCGUUUGCCACUCGCUGCAACUGCCUGUUGUCUUGAUGUCCACCGAACCGAAUGUGUUCUGUUCCGAAUGCGGGUUUUCUUAUCGUCGCGAGCAGCUUUGCCAGCUAACUCGAUCACUUCGGCGGCCGAAACUAUAUAACGCCGACUAGGUGGACUGGUGCACUGGUACUAACGCGCUCGGCCUAGCUACCCUUGCGGGGAACUCGAGACCAACACGGUUCGAGCGGGAUUCUGCCUUUCCCUUCACUUUUCCUCCAUGUCCAGACAUGGCUGCUUGGGAUCGUUCGUUGAUGUGUUGUGAUGCGAACUGAUGUGGUGUACGGUUUGAAUGAGAAUUAUCGUUACGGAAGGAAGGAAGUUAUUGUAUUAUAGAGACUUUAAACUUUUGCGGUUCAUUCGUCUCUAGCCUUGAGAAAGGCCCUUUGAAAACUCUACUCUACUUCAACGCUACCACCUCCACCCUCUUGCCUUGAGAAAGGCACUCGAUCCCUCGCCGUCCAGCUCGUCCAGCAACGAUGUUGUCCAGUCGGUGUCCACACAAAGAAUGAUCGUUACGGCAGCGGAGCGGGGAUUUUUAAGCUGACUGGCUGGCUCGAGAAUUACGCAUGUGUGAGACUGCGACCAAUGUUUCGUUCAUUUUUUUUCUUUUUCCUUUCCAAUCGUGCUUCAUUCUAUUUCGCUGCUGCUCUGGUUGCCCGUAUUGGUCGGUACGAUUUGAGGAGCACAAAAUGGACCAAUCAAAAAUGGGCACAUAGUGCAAUUGGACAAUGCUUGAUAUUUCACAAUUAUUCAAUUAUUUAUCUCAAGAAAAAUGAAAUGUUAUUCGUUAUGAUAGAUGCGUAGAUAUAUUUCCUAUCAAUUGAUGCAAAAACCUUUGCGAUCUAUUGAGAAAUGCUCGAGUUAUAAGCGUUCCAAAUCUUGCAUUUUUUCCUACUUGUUCAGUGCCUAGAUUUCCAUUUCACCCCCUAUAUCUUCCGGUUAGACGUAGUCCUACGUCAAAAAAGAAGUUGAAAAGUAAGGUAGUACAAUGAAUCGAGGAACUUUGCUAUCUCACGUCACUCGCCGCGUGAAAUAAGGGGGAAUGUGUUCAAUUUGUCGCAGAAGUCAGCCUUCCCACAGCCGAUGUAUAAUUGUACUUCUAUAUCUCAUUCGACAUAUAAUCCACGCACAUGUUUUACCACGGUUCACUUUUUUCAGCGAACCACAGCGCUAAGUUAAUCGAAAGCCACUUCUGUUCUUUUACCUGUGCGCAUCCCCCAGAGCAUCAACCAGCGCGUCAGUCAGAGCGCACAGUCAAGAGCACACCAAAAUAUAAUUUCAAUGAAUUUAUCCGCUGCACUGUAGAAAGUUUGUGCGUUCUCUUUCCGCACUCUAAAGCGACCAAGCGUUGAGUAAAAAAAAACGGAUCUUCCACCCAUCUUGCGUUCGCACAUAUCUAGAACUGUGGUGAUUAUAGGCUAAAGAGGAGCGCUCUCGUUGGGAAUGACGGAGUGAGUGGGCGAAUUUAAGUUUCUCUUCGCUACACAGAGGAUAUGGACAUCACUGCCUACGACUACAAUAUCACCAGCCAGCCUUUUGUACGCGUUUAUCAUAUGACCUGGGAGUUAUCCUCAAUUCAGGACUCACAAUUCGCCUCCACUACGAUGAAAUCAUUAAAAAAAGCCGACAGACAAGGUUGGGUUCAUCAUUCCUCGCUCAUUGCUUGUAGGAGCCAGCCGCAUUAUCCUCGGUUUUCUCUCGCGUGUUAUCCCGUGCGUUGCAAAGUAAAGCGGCCGAAGCAUCAGGAACAGCGGCGAAACAGCACCCCUCCGACAACGCUGGAUCGGUGGACUGUAUAACGGUUCCAUUCAUGGCCUCAUCGGUAUCAUACCAGACUGGCUCGUGAAUUUUGUUCCAAAAACCCGCUCCGAGUUGAAACUUCAGGACUGCGAAAUAGAUUUUCGUAAGCACGCUAGUGAUUUUUUCCUGUUUUACGGAUGCAAAUUUUCCUUUUCGGAAUCAAUUGUUUC